ACUGCUCUAUGGAAGCUGGCAGAUGACCUAUUGUCAGAGUCGUAUUCAUAGUCCGAGCAUAAGUGGCUAAGUCAACAUUUUUGUUGACUUGAGAUCGUCUUAAAUAAAAUUUUAUUUUAAAAAGGCGUACCUUUUUGUUUUAAGGGAUUACUUUGUAUAGAAUUUUCAAAGUUUCAGAGCAUCGUGAAAAUUGUAAUCUUACGGAAGAAUGUCUUAAAGUGUAUCUCUGAUUACAUCAUGACUUAAAACCGAUAAGGCGGUCUUCAUGUAGGACUGUGAAUACGACCCUCAGUGUCGUCUGUCUGUUGUUUACCAGCUCACACAUUUCGGGAUCUUACGUUUCUGUGGCAAUGGUGCUCAUUACUGUCGAUCAAUUCUCCAGGAGGUUAGCCGCCGAUUUCUCGUCCUCCUGGUUGGCUAAAUCGCUGGCUCGGAGCCUAACCUUAGUUUUACUCAACUAGAACCUACGUGAGUGUCUCCGAGAAUCAGAAAUUGAAUGACCCUCCCGCGGUUUUCGACUAAAUUGUUUCUAAGGGAGGUUUGAACGAUACUACUUGCUUGGAAUUACGAAAGCUUGGAUUCGGAUAUUUUUCUAUCUGAAGUAGUUUGCGAUUCAUCUUCGGAAAACCAUGAUGCAUGCUGACGGUCCAAUUAUUAUGAAAUAUAUAAUUAAUAUUAAAUUUAUAUGUUACUUUAUGAAGCUCCAAAGGAGCAGAGAAAUGAGGAAACAAUUUUUGAUAUCACAAAUAAGAAUCAGGUAGCACGCAAUAAACAGAGAAAGACAUUAACUGUGAUUCUAAAAACCUUUUGAGAGAACGAUAGUGAUGGCAAAUUGCCCAUAAAUUCUCUUUCUAUGAGAAAUAGCCAGUACAUAUCAUUCUCCAUACUAAAAUGAAAAUGGAAACUAUGUUCCACCAGCUAGAAGUCUGUACUUCCAUCGCAACUACGUAAAGGAAUAUUUAGGAAGCUAUAAUCUUCUGGAGAUUCCUAAAGGAAAUAAGAAAGUAGCUAGCAACGAUAUCCUAGUCAAUGUAGGUGGCAUGCAAUCAAAGACGUGCUUGUGAAAAAACUACAAGAAUUGAGUAGGAUCAAGGGCAAACUUAAAGAUCUUCGAAAUCAAGCGUGGAUUCAUUUGCUACUUGCAUUGGAAGCAGAUUCGAAAUGGAAUCUGAUGGCCGGAACAAUCCUCGACAAGAAUAAUAUCUAUGCCGCUUUGGCAGGGUGACGUUCCCAGAGUUUUAAUCGUUCGUGCCGUUAUGGCAGAGCACAUGGUGUUCAGGACCUGGAACAUCGGAUUUAAAAUUUGUUUAAAUAUUUUAAUUGAGGGCUUGCAGAAAUGCAAAAUGAAUUCUUAACCUUUUUGAACGGAAUACUGUCCAUCGGCAAGAAAUUGAGGAAUGCAGUGCCAGGUGAAGUGAAAAAAACGCGCCUGAGAGUUUCGAAAGAAUUUUGUUGUCAGUAGACUCGUUAUUUCCACUGGAAGCUUGAAGGGGAAAAAUCGGCUAAAGCAAGCUAUUAAGUCAACUUGCGAGACAUUCUGCAGUUGCGCAUCAAAUCGAGACAUACGUCGCUGAAUUCGUAGGAACGGCGGACUAACGCUUAAAUGGUGCACAUCUGGACAUCAAGGGACAAGUAUCAUUUGGAGCCUGAAUUUUAGCUCAUGCCGAGUUGUGGAGUCUCAACUACGCUGUCAGCCACCUGAACACCUGUCAAAGCAACGAUUCUUUUUGCGAUAUUAGACUAAAUAAUUAUU